CCCUAUGGGGUGCAGCAGGCGCGGAAACUUUACAAUGCAGGAAACUGCGAUAAGGGAACUCCGAGUGUCUGGGACAUUCUCAGACUGUUCAGGUACCUAAAUAGUAUCCGAUAGUAAGGGCCGGGCAAGACCGGUGCCAGCCGCCGCGGUAACACCGGCGGCCCGAGUGGUAACCGAUAUUAUUGAGCUUAAAGGGUCCGUAGCCGGUUCGGCAAGUCUCUUGGGAAAUCUGACGGCUUAAUCGUCAGGCGUCCAGGGGAUACUACCGGACUUGGGACCGGGAGAGGUAGGAGGUACUCCGGGGGUAGGGGUGAAAUCCUGUAAUCCUCGGGGGACCACCGGUGGCGAAGGCGUCCUACUAGAACGGCUCCGACGGUGAGGGACGAAAGCUAGGGGCACGAACCGGAUUAGAUACCCGGGUAGUCCUAGCCGUAAACGAUGCGGGCUAGGUGUCACGAUAGCCAUGUGCUGCCGUGGUGCCGCAGGGAAACCGUGAAGCCUGCCGCUUGGGAAGUACGUCCGCAAGGAUGAAACUUAAAGGAAUUGGCGGGGGAGCACUACAACGGGUGGAGCCUGCGGUUUAAUUGGACUCAACGCCGGGAAGCUUACCGGUCUCGACAGCUGUAUGAAAGCCAGGCUGAAGACCUUGCUGGACUAGCUGAGAAGAAGUGCAUGGCC
rnacentral:rRNA from 1 species